rnacentral:rRNA from 1 species
AUUGAACGCUGGCGGCAGGCCUAACACAUGCAAGUCGAACGAGUGGCGGACGGGUGAGUAAUGUCUGGGAAACUGCCUGAUGGAGGGGGAUAACUACUGGAAACGGUAGCUAAUACCGCAUACCAUCGGAUGUGCCCAGCGGGGAUUAGCUAGUAGGUGGGGUAACGGCUCACCAAGGCGACGAUCCCUAGCUGGUCUGAGAGGAUGCCCAGCCACACUGGAACUGAGACACGGUCCAGAUGCCUAAGGGAGGCAGCAGUGGGGAAUAGUGCACAAGGGGCGCAAGCCUGAUGCAGCCAUGCCGCGUGUAUGAAGAAGGCCUUCGGGUUGUAAAGUACUUUCAGCGGGGAGGCGUUACCCGCAGAAGAAGCACCGGCUAACUCCGUGCCAGCAGCCGCGGUAAUAC